UUUUACUUCACGCUGCUUGACGUACUUAUUUACGUUUUAACUUAUUGCUCGCCCAUUAAAACACAUAAACGUGCAAGUGUACACCUUCAAAAUCAAUAGACUUAAAAAGUUUACGUGCACUACCACAAAACAACGCGAGUAAAGGUCAUCGGGUCAGAGAUGUCAUAAUGUAACCAUUGCGUUACCAGGCGGAGUAAACACAAUAGCCGUUUUUCUCCAAGUGUUUCGGAUAUUUCAGUUUGCAACGGCGAAAAUAUCUUGGAAUUACCCUGGAUUUAAUUUUAGGACUCUUUCGAGGUGUUUACUUGUUCGUAGAUUUUAAAUUCGACCAUAUUUUUACCGGUUGCAGGUGAACGAAAGUGUGAAGCUGGCCUCGAUAAGGAAACUCGACUGUUUUUGCGACUAAAGCAGAUUGAUCGUGAUGUUUGUGGGAUGAAGCUGGACGAGUUGUCUGUUCUAAUGUCUAUAAAAUAAAGAUUUCACAUCUGCACAUUGCAGUACUAGUACAGACAUGACAGCUGUUGUAGGUCGAGUUUGGGGGUGGGUCAGUCCAGCCAAUCUAUACUCCACCUGGGGCAGCAAGACCAAACCAGAAAAACCCUUGACAACUGACAGUCAGACCAAAAGCAGGUGGGGUUUAUGGGGACUCACUUCCUGGAUUUGGAGGGGUGAGAAUGCCAAGAAUGACCAAAAGACACUGACUGAGGAGUUCUGGGAGACAGAGGAGAACGUGAAGCCUUUGGAAGUAGAAGAGCUGAGGGCGAUGAGGCCUGAGGUUGAGACCGAGAAAAUGGUUUCCCAAAGCCCCUCACGCUGGUGGAGGAGGAUGCUUCCAUCCAGCUACUUUUAUUGGCCCAGAUGGUCAACAUCCACUGGACUCCGACAAUGGAAAUGUGCCGGGUGGAAUGAAGGCACUUGGGACGCUGAUGAAAUCGAUGGGGAGUCGGACUACGGGACGCCUCCACCAUCUCCCACGCCUCUUUCCCAGAAGCAAUCAACAUUCCAGUUCUUCUCUCGCUCAUGGAUGGGAGAAAUUCUUCCAGAACACUACGAGAUUUGCUUUAAUUUCCUCCGCCACCUAUUUGACCUCUUUGUAGUGGGCUUUCUAAAAACAGUGUCACCUCCGACCAAGAUCGUUUUGGAUGUGCUGGGGGUGCAGGGGGCCCUGAAACUGUGGCUCCAUGGCAUGACCCUGUUCUUGGUAUCGUCUGUCGGGAUGGCUGGACUGCUGUGGACAGUACAGGAGUACCUGCUGCAGUUUGCAGUUAUCUAUGGGGUUGUGCAAGCUCUGGUUAUCUCUGUUAGUGUACGCCAGAGUGAAACUGUGGGACAGGGGGAUGAUGGGAAAGGUGACGAUGAGGUCAAAGAUGGUGAGGAGGAGGAGGACACAUGGGAGCAGAAUGAGCCACAGCAGUCCACUGAUGAAAGCAAUAAAGGAGUUAAACUAAGGAGUUAAUUUACAGGGAAAAUGUAUAUUUUGGAGCAGAACACAGACGUUUCGGCCUCAUGGCCUUCCUCAGUAUGUAGUGAAUAUAGAGGAAGCAAAUGAGAAUUGAGAGGCACUGCAGAGAGCAAGAUUGUCAAUAAAUAGCUUACAUUUUGUUCGGAUCCUCACAAGAAGUUACGUAGAACAGGUUGCUGAUAUUUGCUCAUGGUUCAAGAUCUUUGAUUUAAGAUUUGGCCACAUCAACACUGACCAAAACAGACAGCCACCAUCACUCCACAAGGCUAAUGAGUGAUUGAAGUGAACACCAGCACCCUUUGAUGUCCAGCAGUGAAAGAUAUUUUUUCCCUCACAUUAAUUAUACAAGUUUUGUUUUUCCAAAAGCUGAUUUAAAACAUAGGACACCAGCAGCAGAAAGGAGAAAUGAAUGAGUAAAGAAUGACUAAAAUCCACCUACAGCAUGCCUCAUCCUUACUGAGACUAAAGAAAACUGCCGCAGGACACCCUGCACAGUACACAUGGGGAAAAACGUUCACUAUGAAUCAGAAGAACCAUGGACAGAACUGAAGAACCAGCACUGAUUGGUUAGGGAAUCUCAUCAAGACUAUUAAAAACUGCUCUCAUUUGAAUAUUGAGUGAUUAGUCCAAAGGCUUUUCCAGUUAGCUAAACUGAUACAGACAUUAGUUGUUAUGAAACAUUUUAUAUGGUGAUUAACAGCUUUGCAACUCCACAUUACGUGGACUCGACAUCUGCAUGUGUCACUUUAUUCAUAGUUUAUUCAACCCUUUCCUCUAUCAGUGUCAUUUUAGUUCUAAAAUCACAUAUACUCUUACUUUUAAUGGAUUGAGUCCAUUGUAACUCCCAUCAGUAGGUGACUAUUUGAGUGCAAUUUUAAAGGAACUGAAUACAAAAAGAUUCUUAAGCCACUCCAUAAACUGUAAACUUGAGCAUUACAUUACUGUGUAACAUGCUGAAUUUUAUCAUUAUUCAUUUAUAAGUUGUUGCACGGUUCGUUUGAUAUAGCUUCUUUAUGGUUUGGCGUAUUCCAUUAUAACCAUUCUGUUUGAUGUGCAGUGUAUUUAUGUUUGCGCCAUUACAGCAUUAACUGCAUCUUUGGUCGAUUUCAAAUGUAUUGUGCUUCCUUGCUUCAUUUAUAUUUCAGCUGAUUAUCAUAUUGUUUUGAAUGCUUCUGUUGUGCCUCACAGUACCUGGUACAUUAGCCAGUUCAGAGGGAAUCAUGGGUAAAGACAUUUGAAGGGAUUUUGCACAUCUGUGUACUGACAGCUGAAUAUAACGUACAGUGCUUUGUUGUACAUUUGUGUCUUGUGCUUGCAAGAAUAGCUUUCUCUUCCUGAAUGUGUUCCACAUGCUUUAUCUAUGCAUGAUUAGCACAAUGAUACUCUUAAGCAAUGGAAAGCUUUUAACUUGUGACACGGUUUUCUUUUCUUCUGAAUGCGUUGUUUUCUUUAAGGUACGUGCGCAUAAGUUUGUGGAUUUUUGUUGUCAGUUAUUUAAACAUUAAGAUGUAGUGCGAGAAAAGAUUGCUCACCACUACUUCAAGCAAUGCAGGAAUACUCAUGGGUUCUUCGAAAGUCGUGAGUCAGUUGAAGUGCUGGCCACUGCUGAAAUCAGACAGCUGUGAAUUUAAAUGCCUGCUGUAUCAUCUACAAUGGAUUGCAGCUCUAUGGCCUGUCUGAGAGGAGAGAAAUGGAUGUACAUUUAUUAACUUCUACAGUUCUUAAGUGCUGUACACUGAGCCUUUAAUAGUCCUUACAACUGAACUAAAAUAAAUGUCAUUUUUCCACAUUCAA